CGACUCCUGCGCCAUGCCGUGUCUCGUCUACGACAGCAGGAGCGUGUGCCCUCUCUCAUCCUCGCUCCUCCCUUCCUGGUCAACACAGCCGCCGCGCCACCUCCGUCCUCCGGUCCUCCCUCCCCCCCUGCAGCCCCAGCUCGCGAGGAAGCCGCGGGAGGAGCAGCUCAACCGGGCGUCGCCGGCCGGAGAAGGAGGAGAGGCGCGGAUGCCAGCCAGGGAGGCGGAUCGGCUCGCCCUCUGCAUCCACCUUGCUGCUCAUGGCAGCAUGUGUGCGGAAGCGGGGACAGGCGACCAUGAGCAGAUGUCAUCGGCGGACGCACGGUGCGCGAAGUCCGGUAAGAUGGGCGCGGCCUCCCCGCAGGCAUUUCAAGAUGGCGUGCCCCACGGCUCGGAACGCGCGUGCCUGGCACAUAGGAGGUAUGCCUCGGAGCAAGCUGGUGGCAACGUGCACCGCGAGGCCCCGGAGCAGCCCAACCAGUACAUAGCCCCUCCGUACUGGAGGAACCCUGCCGCCGACGCAGCCAGCGACGGCGACGCGUAUGAGAGCUCGGCCUUGGUGGCCCGCGAGCCGUAUGGGAGGAUCACGUCCGCGCUCGAGGGCAGCAACAAGUGCGGCACGAGGAGGUGCGCCGGUCUACAAUGACGCAAGGUGUACGUGUCCGCAUAGCAGCAUAUGUGCGGCAGCGGGGUCAGGCAACCACAGGCAGAUUUUGGGGAGCGGCACAACCAUCAAGCAACGGCUGAUGCCAAGGAACCUUAUCACAAUAGAUCAUUGGCAUUGCAGCUUCAGGGACAUGUAUGCUUUAUAUCCCAUCACUGAACAAGAUUGGAUUUUAGUGAAUACAAGCCAUCCUCCUCGCUGCCCUCCUCAGCUACUCAGGUGAAUGCAGUGGACUAUUCAAGAUCGAGGGCACCAACGGCAUAUGCUGAGGGCGUCCAUCAACAACCUGCCCAAUGUCCGGAUUCACCGAGGAGUACAACCAGAGACACUGUCGGCUGCCUGCAGCAGGCGCCAAGCCCCCCGACACCGAGCCGUCUGUUCUUCUCUUUGCCCGAAGAAGGAUUAUGGUUCUCCACCUCUCUGCUACUCAUAUUAAAAUUCCCGUAUGUUCUUUCUUUCUUUAUUUUCUGUCAACAAAAAGGUGAAACAUGUUCUUAAUUUUCCAUAAUGAUUUUGAUGGCAAUUUGUCAGUGUAUUUCUAGCUGGAAUUGCAUGUAUAUCUUACAAAUUUACAUUGCAACAAAUUAAGAAGGAGAAUAGAAGCAUUUGCAGCCAUCUAACAUAUGGUAUUUUUCAAAAAGCUCAAGGUUAGAGAUGUGGCGCUGUAUGAGGCUAUCAUUACGAUGGAAGAUAAAUUAUUGUUAAAAUAUUGUUUGAAUUUCCUUCGUUCUGUAAACGGCAAUACAAGCUAUGUUUGCACCAUGAUUCUAUUCCAAUUUCUUUUAACAACUAGCAAUUAACGACACAUCAAAUGUCCUGUAUUCAAAUGGAUCAUUUUGUCUGGUUGGGUUUAGUAGGUCAUAAUGGUUUUAUUGUACAGCAGGAUUAAUUUUGUUUAUACUGUAACCAGUUCAAGGAUUGAUAAGUUUUCGCCCUAUGAUCUUUGCACACAAAGGUUCGGCUGUGUUCUUUUGGAAAUAUACAUCCGCCAAGUCUCAUGUGUCUUGCAUUGUUUUCGCUUUCCAAGCUACAGGUUUGGAUAUACUUCGAACAAGAUUCUUUAUAUGUUGUUCGAUUCCUCUUGACCACAAGGGGAAUGCUUACUGUGGCAAUACGCACUUCUAUGCUUACUGAUUGGCACUCUUUAUUAGCAUGGAGAAUAACUUUUAGUUCACUAAGAUUAGUUUCUGUUCACAUUGCUCUGUAUAUAAAAAAAGGAUUGUUGUGCUGAAAAGGUAUAUGACAUUCUGGCAAAACGUUGUUUAGUAAAAAGGUAUGUAGAGGUGAACUUUAGAAGUGAAAUGGUGUGGAUGUUCUGACAUGGAGAUGCUUGGACUAACUUUAGCGUCACACAUGAUUUUUUGUUUUCCUCCGAAUGUAUGUCCUACUAAUUGUCAGCGCCUGAUUUUUUGUUUUCCUCCCAAUGUCAUGUGAUAAUUACUGCACUAUAAAUCACAUGCUUGCAAGUCAUUGUUGUGUCGUCUCUCUCUCUAACCGCCCCCUCCCCCUUCCCAUCAUCUUGGCUUGCAGGUUGCCGGCGUGUCUCCCACGAGUCUGCGACAUAACGUGCAAUCUAGGUUGUUGGCAAGUUAACUUAGGAUUGGCAACCUAUAGUGUAUUAGUGUGGCAAGCACAUGGGAAGGUGGGAUUACAUUCUAUACUCUUGAAACUAUGUAGAAUUUUGCAUAUACAUUGUUCACUUCAGCAAAAUAGAGAUCCCCUAACUAGCAGAUCAAUGUUGGUUGUGAUCAAACUUUUUUACAUUGUCAUAUUUGUAUAUAUAGUGUGUGAUGGAGUAUCAACUAGCUGCCUUUGGUCGCACUUAGUAUAAAAGUCUCAUAUAUUGCUAGCUCCUUGUAUAUCUAAUUGGAUUGUUUGCUGAGCAAUUUCUCUAAUGUACAUCUCUAAAAUUACUAAUAUAUGGAUUUUCUAAACAUGAUGGUGCAUAUCCGAGAAAGAAGAAAUAGGACCAAGGAAAUUAGGUGCUUCUCUACCUCUCUAUCAUUCACAUUUUAUUGUAUUUUCUAAAGAUGUGUGCCGCUCCCUCGCCUAGUGUUAGUUUCUGCAUGCUUCUCUCCAUGGUCCUCUUUAUUUAGUAUGUAGAGUUCAACUAAACCAUAACGAAUGUGGAGGUUUAUUUUAUUUGUGUUUGUUUAUUUUGAUGGUUUAUUGACUGUUAGAAUAUAGUAUGUUGUGUUCAACAUGCUCACAAAAUUGAAUAGAAGCCCUUCUGAUGUCGAAAUCAGAUUAAAUUUAUGGACUAGCUCAUUUAGAUAUUACAGGGGAGAACAACAUUUGUUUUCUGGAUUCAGUUUUGGUUCUUUCUAUAAAAAUAGUCGGAUAGUGGUCUUAAUGAAACAUUGCAUUUAUUUCAUACAAGUCGCUGAUAUAAUUUGCAUCUAGCAAAUAAAUUUGUAUCACUAUCUAUUUUAUCAGGUAAAACACCAGCAUGUUGUUUGAGGUGCAUGCAUCGGUUGUAGCGAAAAUGUGCGUAUGACGAUGUAUUGCUGACCAUGGAGCACUGCAAGGCUUCAAGAUAUCUACCGCAACUUAGAGGCUUGACACAUUGCCACUUGCUCCUACCACCAUGCAAAUGGUCGAUGCUUUAGUGUUGAACUAUUGACUAAUCUUUUUUUUCUUUAAUCUAUGUGAUGGUGCCCCUUACCAUUAGUACUUGUCAUGUGGAUUUCAAUAGAAAUGAUGUUUUAGGCAUGUUUGAUGGUUAUAAAACAAAUGCCAUAGAUGAUAGCUAUUGCUAUUAUGGAGUUUGGAACUAUUGUUCAACUGAUAUUCAAUGUUUGAUGCUC